UGUGACGAUGAGGACUCACCGGAGACAGGACGGCGAAACCGAUGGUUGCUGUUAGUGUGAUUCUUGCCGCCCCAUUUCAAGAAAGGGAGAGAGAAGUUGUGGAGAGGCUGAGACUUCACCGGUGCGGUGGCCAUAAAGAACCCACACUCUUCAAAGAAAACCAAAACGAAGUCACAAUUGCUCGAAAUCGUAACCCAUACAAACAAAUAUAUAGAGAAAGAUAAAGAAAAGCUUCAGGUGAUGAAGAGAUAGAGAUUAAGAGAAGAAAGGGAGGAAGAAGGAGGAUGAGAGAGACGGUUUCCAAAGGAAGCUUUGGAGAAGAGGCGCUGUGUCUUCGUAUCAUAAAA